GACGAACGCUGGCGGCGUGCUUAACACAUGCAAGUCGAACGGAAAGGCCCUGCUUUUGUGGGGUGCUCGAGUGGCGAACGGGUGAGUAACACGUGAGUAACCUGCCCUUGACUUUGGGAUAACUUCAGGAAACUGGGGCUAAUACCGGAUAGGAGCUCCUGCUGCAUGGUGGGGGUUGGAAAGUUUCGGCGGUUGGGGAUGGACUCGCGGCUUAUCAGCUUGUUGGUGGGGUAGUGGCUUACCAAGGCUUUGACGGGUAGCCGGCCUGAGAGGGUGACCGGCCACAUUGGGACUGAGAUACGGCCCAGACUCCUACAGGAGGCAGCAGUGGGGAAUAUUGCACAAUGGGCGGAAGCCUGAUGCAGCAACGCCGCGUGCGGGAUGACGGCCUUCGGGUUGUAAACCGCUUUCGCCUGUGACGAAGCGUGAGUGACGGUAAUGGGUAAAGAAGCACCGGCUAACUACGU
rnacentral:rRNA from 1 species